rnacentral:lncRNA from 1 species
GUCCCGGCUCUUCACUUUGUAGCAUCCAUCCGGAUGGCAGAUUAGAGGCUGGGAUCUGCAGACCUGACAUGUCAGAUGAGAAGGGGCCUUGGAUAACCUGCCAAAACAACAGCACAAAUAAACGCCAGACACCGGGGCUGCUUGAUGUGGAAUUACAAACAUCGCUCCCAUCAUCGAUUCAAAUGCAGCUGAUAUGUAAAGCUCACGUUGUGGCUGCCUUAGAUGAAGGGGGAUCUCGCAGCCCAAGUGCACCCGGCGGGGUGGGGCUGGCGGGAACAAAGUGCCUCCCUGGUACCCCGGCUGCUCAUUUUCCUCGGGCAAGGUGGGAGCCGAGGCUCUGCACGCAGGACGGCGAUAUUUAACAUGCAUUGGUUUUCUUAUAAAAGUUCUCUGAUUGUCUAAUGUGACAGACUCUGGCAUGGGAGACACUGCCACGAAAAUUGCCUCCUGUAGCACCGCUUGAUUUAAGGGAGAGGCAGCGCUUGGGAGAAAAAGAGUCAAAUGCAUGCAGCUGGUGGUGUCUUUCUUUACAUAUUCCCUUUGCGUUCCUGCAGAGCCCCGCGCAGAAGGUGGCAAUUGUGGGAAGAGGGCAAUAUUUACUGGCUGUGUUUCUUUAAGACCCAAAACCACAGUGGUGGUGAUUACAUUUCUGCCUCAUGUUAAUGCAAAUCCCUAUGGUUGAUUGCAAGAUUUAAUUUUUUUUAAAAAAAUUGAUGCAUAAUAGAUGUACAUAGUUUUGGGGUGCAUGUGACAAUUGAAUACAUUCAUAGAAUUUAUAAAGAUAAAAUCAGUGUACUUGGGAUAUCCAUUAACUUCAAUAGUUGUCUUUUCUGUGUGCUAGAACCAUUUGAACUCUUCUCUCGUUAGGAUUCAUUCUGUUUUGUAGGUUACAUAGGGAUUAUCAGAAAAGGCUUUUUAAAAAAUUCUAUCUUAAACUAUAGAAAAGGAAUCUUUUAUGAUUUCUUUUGAAAUUUUUGUACCAAGCUUUGGUUUUUACCACCUCACUCCAGAAUGGCUAAGCUGACAUUUUUUUUUUUUCCCACAAUGUGCAGAUCUGAAAGCUGUAGGGAAAAUAAGUUACAAAGACCUGCCCUUGAGCCAGGACUUUUCUGCGUUCAGGGCGGGUCAUCGGGGCCGUGGGUUGGGCCACACCGCCACAUUGACGGCAGAUGACCCCUCCAUGGCGCUUGCCUGCCCCGGCACCACCACCCACACUGCAUCCUGUUCUGUGCCACCUACAAACCAGAGUCAGAAAGAUCUCUUAGCCGAAGUGGUAUGAGUGAGAUUUAAUGCAAGGAUUAAAUGACCAGUGGUGCUCAGAGAGAUUAUUGACAGCUGGUUUGCCUCACGGGCAGUCCAUUUUGAAAAUAACCUGCACAUUGAAAAUAUGCUGUACAUUAAAAUACACAUUCUCUAUUUUCAGCCCAUGAUGUAAAGUUCAUCCCAAUAACAAAGUACUAAAUGAUUGUGGAUC